CUGCAGCCAUUCUGCCAUCCGGCGCUUGUGCAGGUGCCUUCCGCGGAGUCAGUCUAGGAAACGUUUCCAGGCGCCUAGUCUUUGCAAUCAAAAGAAUCAGAAAUGUUGCUGAGGCCCUAAGAGGCAGUUCUGCACAGCUGCUCAAAACAGAAUCGGAGGAUGGAUGAUGGGGGAUAGUGUGUGCGGCUCUUUGCUGGCUAGGUCUCCUACCAGACUUUUAAAAAGUAGCACGUGAAGGUGUAUGGAGGUCAGCACACAGCGCUGCUUAGGACUCUUUCUUCACAGGAAGUGGCAGCAUGCCUGCCUCAACCUCAGCCCUCAGCCAAUGCCUUCUGACUCCGAGCCGAGAGCCCUUCCUGACCUCGUGGCUGAGCGUCUCUGGCCUUCUCUGCAGCUCCUCAACGGUGUGGCAGCGCAGCGCAGGCCCUCCUGGCUGACCUUCAGAAAUCUGUUGAAAUCUUAAAAUAAGAAAACAGGGAAGCUUGCUGCAUCGAUUGACUCUUCCUUUCACGAAAGAUUUCUCUGUAGCGUGCAAUGCUAUGCACUGGAAAAAGAAAGAAAGAAAGAAAUCUGUUGAAAUCACUCGUUCGUUGCUGUUGACCCUCUCCACACCGUUGUCUUUGAGAACCUGGAUUGUACUUAUAGGCUUUAUUUCAUGGAGGCUUAUGGCAAACAGGUGGCAAGGGCAUAUGUCUACUCUGCCAUUUAACUCGGAGAGUUUUGCCUGCUUUUUAAGGUAUCUUUGAGUACUUAAUAUGGGCCUCUAUCUGAUCUUUGCACCCUGACUUUUCAUAACGGUACAGUGCACGUGAAAAAUUCUGUUCAGUCAAGCCUGAACUGCCUUCUGAACUCAGAUGCUCAUUUUUGAUUCAGUUUCUUUGCAGCCCUAGGAGGACCAUUCUUCUUCCUUUCUUCCCCUAUGUAUUUGAAUAAUUCAUCAAGGCCAAAUUAAUUCCAUUUCCUUCAUCAAGGUGAAUUCAGCUAAUUGUAGCAUUCUCCCUUCUCUGAACUAUAAUUGAACCAUUAUUACGUGAUAAAGACAUGUCUAUACUAGACAACCUGGUACUACAUAUACUUUUUGUUAUAUAAUUAUGUAUGUGUUCUAAUUAGUUAAGUAACACUCUACUAGAUUCUGGAAGUUAUUUAAGGCAUGUCACAUAUGUACUUAUGCAGUUAGAUUUACCUUGCUGAAACCAAUGUCUCUUUUAGGGCAUAGCAUGAUACUGGAGAUAUGGUAAAAUAUUAAUACACAAAUGUACAAUUUAUUCAUUACAAAAAAUUUACACUGCAAUCAACUACAUACACACGUUCUUUUUUACAAUUUUUUAAAUUAUACUUUAAGUUCUAGGAUACAUAUGCAGAACGUAGGGUUUGUUACAUAGGUACACACGUGCCAUGGUGGUUUGCUGCACCCAUCAACCUGUCAUCUACAUUAGGUGUUUCUCCUAAUGCUAUCCCUCCCCUAUCCCCCCACCCCCUGACACGCCCUGGUGUGUGAUGUUCCCCUCCCUGUGUCCAUGUGUUCUCACGGUUCAACUCCCACUUGUGAGCGAGAACAUGUGGUGUUUGACACAUACUUUCUUUUUACUUAUCUUGAUUAUUUUUCUUUUCCUAUCCUGAGUUUUCCAGACAAAAUAGCUAAAGAAGUCAAGAAAACCAAAGGAUAUUAAAACGAAAGUGGCAACAGACAACAAAAGGAAUUAGUAAUUGACACUCAUUGAAUCCUUCUUCUUUUCCUUAUUAUUUUUAUCAGUUGUGCUUAUCUUUACUUGUGCCACAGUGAGCACUAGGAUUCUUCCAUGGUAGGUUGGUGUGUAAUAGUUAAAUGAGCACUCAUAAUAUUUAGGCAUUUCAUAGUGUGUCAUCUUAAAUUAAUGUAAUUUUCAUAAAAUUUACAGUUUGAAUAUAUUCUAUAUGCUAUUUUAAUUUUUUUCUGAGAAAGAACUGUCUGCUGAGAAAUAGUGAAAUGAAACUCUUCAUUUUGAUGACUGGGAAAAGAGAUGGGAGUAGUGUCUCCACUGCCAGACAGACUGCAUCUCUGCUGCCAGACGUCCUGGGAUGUUGCUGUGGGUUUUUGACAGGCUUCUUGCACUAUUGAAGUCAAAUUCUUUCCUAGUAGCACACACCUUUCCAACACUAAUCUAUGUGAAAAAUAAGAAAACCUUUCUUCCUGUUGUUGGCUGGAGCACCCCUGCAUCUUUGAAACUAUUAUUUCGUUUGUUAGGCAGAAGCUCCUGGGCAGCUGCCAGCCUUCUCUAUGGUGUUUGAGCACUGACCCCUGAGCACGGUAUGUGACAUAUUAUUAAAGAAUUAUUAAAGACCAAUGGCAUGCUUUGGUCAUUUUUCUUAUCUAACAGUCAUAGUAAAACUGAAAACUAGAAAUUAUGAAUGACAAGAAGGGGAAAUUUAAAUUAGGGCCCCAAUUUACUUCUUUUUACUAUCAGUUUUGAUAAUUUAUUUUUCAUUAGCAGAGGUAUUUUACAUGAAUUUUCUUAGUCUUCCCUUCCUUUCUUCAGGGUGCAGGUUCAAACUUUAUCUAACAAUUAAUAUACAUUUUUAAUUAUCAUACGAUAAUGGUAAAACAUUAAUUAAAAAUUUAUAUGUAUUUUAAAGUGUAAUGCUACCAUAUAAAUUAUGUAUAUUUUAUCCAUAUAUCUAUCUGACACUUACCUAUAUCAUGAAUGAAAAGAGGUUAUACGUAAAAUUCACGUUAUUAUUUUAUUUGCCAUGCAAUUUAGAAUUAAAUCAGGAUGUUGGCAGAAAGCUAGCUAAACCCUUAACUGACAUGUACCCUCUCAGCAAUGUAACUAAGGAUGAUCGCAGUCUGGCACCCAUGCUAGGCAUGUGGUAGAAAGCAUGCCAAUUCUUGGCACAACAUAAAACAGAAGGAAUUUGGUGUAGGACAUCUGGAUAUUUAGUACUUUAUGCAAAAAUACAUAGAUCCUUUAUUUUUCCUUCUCUUUUGACAUUUGUUGUACAAAGUCUUAAAAAUUUAUUCUUUGGAAUACAUAAGUUGGCCAUAUUCAUAUGCUUCUUGAAAAAGCUAUUUUUAAAAAACUUUUAGUUCUAGCAUUUAAUGCUGGAGACCAGUACUACCCACUUGGACUUUGUGCAGUGAUAGACACACUUUAUAUCUGCAAAAUCUAAUAAAGAGAUGACUAGCUACGUGUGUCCAUUGAACACUAGAAAUGUACUUGGUGCAACUGAGGAGCUGAAUUUUCAUUUUUAUUUAGUUUUAAUUCAUUUAAGUUUAGAUAGCCACAUGUGGUUGAUGGUUACCAUACUAGUAAAGCUAUAGGCUAUUAACAGUCUCAGUUUACCAGUGGUUAAGACUAGCUGAAGUAUAAGAUAUUUCUUAAUUACAGAAGGAAAAUUGUCUGAUGAAAUAUUAAGGACCUUUCAUUUACAUGCAUUAUAGUGAUAUUAAAGUAGUUUCAAAAUAGAAUAGCAUAAUAUUAAUAAAUACACAUGAAUAUAUGUUCAUGCACAUAUAGUUUUAUACAUAAAUAUGUGUGUUUAUUCAAACCAGAGAAUUCAUUAAAUCGGAUUAUACAGUAAUAAUAUACAAAAACUGAAAAACUGCUAUAAAAUUUCAUGGCUAGAAACAUGUUCUUGUCAGUAAAUCCGUAAAUAUUGGUACAUACAUAGCAAUAAAGCAUAAUAAACUUAAUGACAAAAUAAGUCCCACCAUAUAUGCAGUACCAAAAAGCAAAAAUGGUACUAUAUUUUCAUGAAUAUUGGUGACUAAAAAGUAAAGCAAUGUAAAAUAGGUUUGAUGAAAUUUCUUUUAAGAUAACCAUAGUUUGCAAAUAAAAUUAAUUUAUCAAAAAGCAGCAGGAACUAUACAUCUAGAUAGUAAUGUUUAAGAGCAUUCAAUGUUGUUCCCUGGAACUCAGAAAAGUAAAUUUCUUCUUAUUAUUAGAUAACUAGUAAAAAGUGAACAAGAGUAUUUACUCUAUGAAUUUUAACCUGUGAGUUUAGUAGUUCUAUAUCUUAAUCUAAAAUUUUAAUAAAAUAGCCCAAAUUUUAUCUCUCCU
rnacentral:lncRNA from 1 species